rnacentral:rRNA from 1 species
UGCCAGUCGAACGACCCGGACUAUGGCGGGGAGUGGCAGACUGCUCAGUAACACGUAGCUAACCUACCCUCGGGACGGGGAUAACCCCGGGAAACUGGGGUUAAUCCCCGAUAGGCGUGGAUUCCUGGAAUGGUGUCACGCCGAAACGAUAACACACCAUGUUUGUGUACACGCCUGAGGACGGGGCUGCGGCCGAUCAGGCAGUUGGUGAGGUAACGGCUCACCAAACCUUUGACCGGUACGGGCCGUGAGAGCGGUAGCCCGGAGAUGGACACUGAGACAAGGGUCCAGGACCUACGGGUCGCAGCCGGUACGAAACCUCCACAAUGCACGCAAGUGCGAUGGGGUUACCUCGAGUGCCGCCUGAAGAAGGCGGCUUUUCCAUUGUGUAAUGAGCCGUGGGAAUAAGAGGGGGGCAAGACCGGUGUCAGCCGCCGCGGUAACACCAGCCCCUCGAGUGGUGGGGAUGAUUAUUUGGCCUAAAGCGUCCGUAGCCAGCUCUGUAAAUCUCCCGUUAAAUCCAACGUCCUAAGCGUUGGGCUGCGAGAGACACUGCAGAACUAGAGGGUGGGAGAGGUCAGCGGUAUUCCUGGGGUAGGGGCGAAAUCCAUUGAUCCCAGGAGGACCACCAGUGGCGAAGGCUGCUGACUUGAACACGCCUGACGGUCAGGGACGAAAGCUGGGGUAGCGAAUCGGAUUAGAUACCCGAGUAGUCCCAGCCGUAAACGAUGCA